rnacentral:misc_RNA from 1 species
GCCAAACUCUCAGAAAUUUUGGGAAAUGACUCACGUGAACUCAAAUGGGCAUUGGGUUAAUGAUGCUUCUGCUGAAGUGAAUGAUAAGGUGAAAGAAGUUGUUGCUGAACAAAUUCAAGAAAUUGAAGAGGGUGCCGAUGUGGACCUUAUUGCUAAUGCUGCAUUUAUGCAUAUUAUGAGAGAAAAAGCAGGGUAUGUUCGUGGUCAAGGAUCGGGAGUUAAGCCAGCGAGUAGGAGAUCCAGAGAUGAAAUUCAAGAGCAACUGGAAGCACAACAAAAGGAGAUAGAAGAAGAACGACGUAAACGAGAAAGUUUAGAAAGCAAGCUAAUGGAAGUAAAAUAUCAGCUUGAAGAGGAGCGGAGAAGUCGAGAAGUCAUGGAAACUCGUAUAGUGCGUGAGCAAAAAUUGUUAAAAGAGGGUGUAAUGGCAUUAGUAUCCCAUAUGCAAAGUUCCAUGAAUGGACUUCCUGCUGCAAUUUUCAACAUCAUUAAUAACUCAACUGGUUCAGACGAGGCAAGUCCUACAAGUCUUAUGGAUAAAAACUAGGAUGAUCAAACAUUGUUGCUGACAAUAUGGUUCAUGUAAUGCACAACCCAUUGCAAGAAAAUAUUCUUCAGUUGAUGCGCUGGGAUGAAAGAAAGUUCUUUGGUGCUCCUCCGGGACGAACAGACACAUGAAGGAAUUGGCUCUUACUAUCGAUCGGAUGGAGAGAUUCGCGGCGCUUUACCUUACGAAUAUCUAAAGGCGAAGAUCUCUUUUCGACUAGCAAGUUUACGUACCUAGGUCCUAAGUUUCUCAUUACUCGGUGAAGUCGAGACUACUCUUGAAAUUAGAAUGUUUAUAUCCUUUUGUUCUUUCUGUAAGUAAAAAUAAAAGUAUAUAUUUAGGAGUAUUAGUUUUU